rnacentral:lncRNA from 1 species
UUGUUGGUAAUCCCGUAAAACCAACGUAGGUUGUUGGUCAACCCGUAAAACCAACGUAGGUUGUUGGUGAACCCGUAAAACCAAUUGUAUAGGUUCAUUGGUGAGCCCGUAAAACCAACAUAGGUUUUUGGUGAACCCGGAAAACCAAAGUGUAAAGGUUUUUGGAUUGUGAGCCCGGAAAACAAUCCAACUGUAAUCCACGGGAUUAUAGUGAAUUCCCAAGGGGUCACUUGGGGAGUGGACGUAGGUGCUAAGGAGAGCACCGAACCACUAUACUUCUUGUUGUUUGUAUUGUGAUUUGUUUAAGUUCACUAACUCAUCAUUUAACACAAGUAAGAUAGUUAAAAUUAAAAGAAACCAAUUCACCCCCCCCCCUCUUGGCUUGUCACCUUGGGCAACA